GCUUUGAGUAGGUCAUGGCCUGUAAGCUA
rnacentral:piRNA from 1 species